CCUACGGGUGGCAGCAGUGGGGAAUAUUGCACAAUGGGCGCAAGCCUGAUGCAGCCAUGCCGCGUGUGUGAAGAAGGCCUUCGGGUUGUAAAGCACUUUCAGCGGGGAGGAAGGCGUUAAGGUUAAUAACCUUGGCGAUUGACGUUACCCGCAGAAGAAGCACCGGCUAACUCCGUGCCAGCAGCCGCGGUAAUACGGAGGGUGCAAGCGUUAAUCGGAAUUACUGGGCGUAAAGCGCACGCAGGCGGUCUGUCAAGCCGGAUGUGAAAUCCCCGGGCUCAACCUGGGAACUGCAUUCGAAACUGGCAGGCUAGAGUCUUGUAGGGGGGGGUAGAAUUCCAGGUGUAGCGGUGAAAUGCGUAGAGAUCUGGAGGAAUACCGGUGGCGAAGGCGGCCCCCUGGACAAAGACUGACGCUCAGGUGCGAAAGCGUGGGGAGCAAACAGGAUUAGAUACCCGGGUAGUC
rnacentral:rRNA from 1 species